rnacentral:tmRNA from 1 species
GGGGGUGACUAGACUCGACAGUCGGCGUCGAGUCCAAUAGUCGCAGGCCCUGGUUGGUCGGAGCCAGGAUAAAAUCCGUCCAAAAAACAAAAGCCACUUCACCUGUGGCCUGGGCCACUGCCUAAACCGCAGUAAGCUCACGUCGGUCCUUCGACACCUGCUAGAGGGAACCCGGCGUCAAGAAGCAGGGUGCGGAUCGUCCCGCGUUCUCCGUCGGCGGCGAUCCUAAGACCGAACGGCGAUAGUCUGGAAGUGCUGGUCCGGCGGUUUCUUCCAGGCGAACCCGAAGCCGGGCUAAGCCUGUAGUGACUUUGGACGGCGUUGAUUGGACGCGGGUGCGAAUCCCGCCACCUCCACCA